rnacentral:rRNA from 1 species
UAGGGAAUUUUCGGCAAUGGGGGGAACCCUGACCGAGCAAUGCCGCGUGAACGAUGAAGGUCUUCGGAUUGUAAAGUUCUGUCAAUGGGGAAGAAUGGUCCGCGGAGUGGAAAGCCGCGGGCGUGACGGUACCCGUUAAGAAGCCCCGGCCAACUAUGUGCCAGCAGCCGCGGUAAUACAUAGGGGGCAAGCGUUACCCGGAUUUAUUGGGCGUAAAGCGUGCGUAGGCGGUUUAUUAGGUCAGGCGUAAAAGAUCACAGCUCAACUGUGUAGGGCGUUUGAAACCGGUAGACUUGAAUACGGUAGAGGCAGGUGGAAUUCCAUGUGUAGCGGUGGAAUGCGUAGAUAUUAGGAGGAACACCAGUGGCGAAGGCGGCCUGCUGGACAUUAACUGACGCUGAGGCGCGAAAGCGUGGGGAGCAAACA